CGAAUUCAGACAAACUCCGAAUGCCAAUUAAUUUAACUUGGGAGUCAGAACAUGGGUGAUAAGGUCCGUGUUCGAAAGGGAAACAGCCCAGACCACCAGCUAAGGUCCCAAAAUAUAUGUUAAGUGGAAAAGGAUGUGGCGUUGCCCAGACAACUAGGAUGUUGGCUUAGAAGCAGCCAUCAUUUAAAGAGUGCGUAAUAGCUCACUAGUCGAGUGACACUGCGCCGAAAAUGUACCGGGGCUAAACAUAUUACCGAAGCUGUGGAUUGUCCUUUGGACAAUGGUAGGAGAGCGUUCUAAGGGCGUUGAAGCAUGAUCGUAAGGACAUGUGGAGCGCUUAGAAGUGAGAAUGCCGGUGUGAGUAGCGAAAGACGGGUGAGAAUCCCGUCCACCGAUUGACUAAGGUUUCCAGAGGAAGGCUCGUCCGCUCUGGGUUAGUCGGGUCCUAAGCUGAGGCCGACAGGCGUAGGCGAUGGAUAACAGGUUGAUAUUCCUGUACCACCUAUAAUCGUUUUAAUCGAUGGGGGGACGCAGUAGGAUAGGCGAAGCGUGCGAUUGGAUUGCACGUCUAAGCAGUAAGGCUGAGUAUUAGGCAAAUCCGGUACUCGUUAAGGCUGAGCUGUGAUGGGGAGAAGACAUUGAGUCUUCGAGUCGUUGAUUUCACACUGCCGAGAAAAGCCUCUAGAUAGAAAAUAGGUGCCCGUACCGCAAACCGACACAGGUAGUCAAGAUGAGAAUUCUAAGGUGAGCGAGCGAACUCUCGUUAAGGAACUCGGCAAAAUGACCCCGUAACUUCGGGAGAAGGGGUGCUCUUUAGGGUUAACGCCCAGAAGAGCCGCAGUGAAUAGGCCCAAGCGACUGUUUAUCAAAAACACAGGUCUCUGCUAAACCGUAAGGUGAUGUAUAGGGGCUGACGCCUGCCCGGUGCUGGAAGGUUAAGAGGAGUGGUUAGCUUCUGCGAAGCUACGAAUCGAAGCCCCAGUAAACGGCGGCCGUAACUAUAACGGUCCUAAGGUAGCGAAAUUCCUUGUCGGGUAAGUUCCGACCCGCACGAAAGGCGUAACGAUUUGGGCACUGUCUCAACGAGAGACUCGGUGAAAUCAUAGUACCUGUGAAGAUGCAGGUUACCCGCGACAGGACGGAAAGACCCCGUGGAGCUUUACUGUAGCCUGAUAUUGAAAUUCGGCACAGCUUGUACAGGAUAGGUAGGAGCCUUUGAAACGUGAGCGCUAGCUUACGUGGAGGCGCUGGUGGGAUACUACCCUAGCUGUGUUGGCUUUCUAACCCGCACCACUUA
rnacentral:rRNA from 1 species